GAUGGUUUAAUAAGAGGUUUUCUCCCUUUUGCUUGGCACUUCCCCUUGCUGCUGCCACCAUGUGAAGGAGGACGUGUUUGCUUCCCCUUCUGCCUUGAAAAUUUCUUGAUGCCUCCCCAACCAUGCUGAACUGCAACAAAAAUGAAGUCUUCUGACCCACUACCAUAUCUGGGUAAAAUCUUUGGCUCAACGGAUGGCUUAAAUAUGACAAAUAAAAAGGCCAUGUUGUAAAGAUGGAAUCACAAGAUGGCACCUGCUUGGAUUCCUAAGUCACUCCCUACUGGAAGGAGGCUUUCCUGGAGACUCUCUAGAACUGCAGCAGACCUUAUAUGGAAAUAACAGAACAUAGAAACAAGGAGAGAUGUACAGUGCUAUUCACUUGCAAAAUUCUUCGUGAACCUCCCUGCUUCUUCAGCAGAGGGCACUCUGCAAUGAAAAGUGCUUGGAAGCCGAGGAUGCUAUCUUUGCAAUGUAAUAUCCAAGAAUACAGUCACAAUGUAACAUCGAGAAUACAGCAAAAGAACUGCCUUCCCACUUUAACUUGUCUAUCUAUGGGAAACUCGAACGGUCAUGCUAUGGUGCUUAGAUAGGGGUGAAUACACACCUAUUCAUGAUUAGUUUGUAGCUCACUCUCCACCUCAGUGUUAUCCAAACUACCCAAGCUGCCUUCUUCCUUCUUGGUCUAUCAUGAGGAUCUAUAUGUAGCAAAGCGAUCAAUCCUAUGAAUGCUGAGAAAUCACUACAAAUUGCUGAAAAUAUCAAUGUUCUGGCAUGAAAACCCCUUAUUUAAAAAUUGACAGUUUCAAAUGGAAAACACUAUAGAAUUAAACCUUCCUUUCUGCUCCAAAACAAUACUGAAGGUAGAAUACCCCUUCCUUCUACUUUCCCAGCCCCAUUGCAUGAUUAUAGUUAUCAUGGUCCAGGAGCCUCAGUUGUCUAAACAGUUGGGACCAUAGAGAAUGCUGUAGAAAUGAAAGCAUAUUUAACAGAAUAGACUUUAACCAGGGCUCAGGUUCUGCCACUUAUUUAGCUUGCAAUUCCUUGGUUCCUUAUUGCCAAAUUAGUACAUAGCAGAUAUGAGAAACUAAAUGAGAUGAUGUAUGUCAAGCGUUCAGUGUUUGGUGUAGCAAGCACUCUGGACAUUUCAGCUCUUGUCAUCAUUAAUAAAAAUGGUAUUUCUCUG
rnacentral:lncRNA from 10 species